CCUACGGGUGGCUGCAGUGGGGAAUAUUGGACAAUGGGCGAAAGCCUGAUCCAGCCAUGCCGCGUGUGUGAAGAAGGCCUUCGGGUUGUAAAGCACUUUCAGUGGGGAAGAAAGCCUUGGGGCUAAUACCCUCGAGGAAGGACAUCACCCACAGAAGAAGCUCCGGCUAACUCCGUGCCAGCAGCCGCGGUAAUACGGAGGGUGCGAGCGUUAAUCGGAAUUACUGGGCGUAAAGCGCGCGUAGGCGGUCUGAUAAGCCGGUUGUGAAAGCCCCGGGCUCAACCUGGGAACGGCAUCCGGAACUGUCAGGCUAGAGUGCAGGAGAGGAAGGUAGAAUUCCCGGUGUAGCGGUGAAAUGCGUAGAGAUCGGGAGGAAUACCAGUGGCGAAGGCGGCCUUCUGGACUGACACUGACGCUGAGGUGCGAAAGCGUGGGUAGCAAACAGGAUUAGAUACCCCGGUAGUC
rnacentral:rRNA from 1 species